AGAGAUGGGGAGGAACAGCUCCAGGACAUGGAAUUCACUGAGACCAGGCCUGCAGGCCACAGGACCUUCCAGAAGUGGGCAGGUGUGGGAGUGACCUUGGGCCACAAAGGGAAAUGUACCUGCUGAGUUCAGCACAAGGGACUGCCUGAGCCCCUCACCCUGAAGUGGGAGCUACAGUCCUCAUCCGCCUAGCUCAUUGUGGGGGGCAUUGGUGCUGUCCUCAUCCUCAUUUCAGUCAUUGCUGGAGUUGUGAUCUAGAGGAAGAAGGCUUCAGGUAGGCAGGACUGUGGGUUAGGGUCCUUAGGGCCCUGGACCCAUGGAGAUCCUGGCUUCCCCUGACCCUCAGCUUGUCUUUCUGUCCCCAAGUCUUCUCUUUCCCAUCUAAGGGACUCUCACAUGGGCCCUAAGACUCUAGAUGAACAAAAUCCUCAACUAGAAACGGUUUAUCUUGAGGAUGCCUGGUAGGGGUAUAACAGGCUGGCCUAGUGGGGAAUGUGCUUCAGACUCAGAUCAGAAAUGGAUGUGGGGAUCUCUGCCAGAGGGUCUGGGUGUCUCCCAGCUGGGGGCUGCAGACCAGCCUUGGGAACCCCUGGAGGCUGGCCUGGAGGUGGGGAAGUGGCCUAUUUGGGGGGUCCCUUUUCUCUCUUCCUCUUGGAUCCAGGGGCUGGACUGGAGUGGGAGAUGGGGGUGCAGUCCCAGUUGUAAUUUGUUGUGUCUCCAAGGCAAACCAGUGAACUUCUGAGACCUUGGUGUGGUCUCCUCUCAUGGAUUCCUCACUGGAAAUUUUUUUGUUUUCCAAGUGGAAAAGGAGGGGUCUCUGUUCCAGCUGCAGGUAAGUGAAGGGUUGACGUGGAAGGGAGAAGGAAGGCCUAGCCCAGGGUAUCUUUGGGACCUGGGCAAUGAGAAGGCAGAGGAGAGGCUUAGCCCUUUUCUUGGUGUCCCCUUCCCUUCCAUACCCUGGUUCUGGAAUGUAUGUCCCUGACUGGGUCAUUUCCCUCCUUUGUCUCCAGACAAUGACAGUGCACAGGGGUCAGAUGUCUCUCUCCCAGCCAAAGCUUGAGAGAAUUGCCUGGUAUGGGCCUGAGGAAGAAAACAAGCCUCCAGUCCCUGUGUCGUUCCUGUGGACCUCUGGCUUCUUUCCCCGGCACUGGCCCCUGGGAUCCUCCCUGGACUCUACUGGCCCAAGCCCAGGUGUCCACAAUCAGAAGAGGCUGCUCCAGGAGAUCCGGCCUUGGAGGGACUGAAUGACCAAAUCCUAUGGGCUUUGUUAGAGUGUGGAUUCCAUGCAGGUGUAGGUUUGACCAGAGGGGACAAAUGCACAGCCUGCUGCCUGGCUGAAGUGUGCUGGAAUGCUUUGGAACCAGGUUAAAGAGUAGUUGGGAGAUAUUUAACAAAGACAUGAAAAUAUAAUAAAGCAGAUGACAUUUCAUUUUAAAACUAAGUU
rnacentral:lncRNA from 1 species